rnacentral:rRNA from 1 species
GACAGAGGGGGCAAGCGUUGCUCGGAAUCACUGGGCGUAAAGCGUGCGCAGGCGGUUUUGUAAGUCAGAUGUGAAAUCCCCGGGCUUAACCUGGGAACUGCGUUUGAAACUACAAGGCUAGAGUGUGGCAGAGGGGGGUGGAAUUCCACGUGUAGCAGUGAAAUGCGUAGAGAUGUGGAGGAACACCGAUGGCGAAGGCAGCCCCCUGGGUUAACACUGACGCUCAGGCACGAAAGCGUGGGGAGCAAACAGG